rnacentral:rRNA from 1 species
UACGGAGGGAGCUAGCGUUAUUCGGAAUUACUGGGCGUAAAGCGCACGUAGGCGGCUUUGUAAGUUAGAGGUGAAAGCCUGGAGCUCAACUCCAGAACUGCCUUUAAGACUGCAUCGCUUGAAUCCAGGAGAGGUGAGUGGAAUUCCGAGUGUAGAGGUGAAAUUCGUAGAUAUUCGGAAGAACACCAGUGGCGAAGGCGGCUCACUGGACUGGUAUUGACGCUGAGGUGCGAAAGCGUGGGGAGCAAACGGG